rnacentral:misc_RNA from 1 species
AAUGCGCUAAGUAAUGUGCAUUGCAGAAUUCAGUGAAUCAUCGAAUCUUUGAACGCACCUUGCGCUCCUUGGUAUUCCUUGGAGCAUGCCUGUUUGAGUAUCAUGAAAUCUUCAAAGUAAAUCUUUUGUUAACUCAAUUGGUUUCUACUUUGGUAUUGGAGGUCUUUGCAGCUUCACACCUGCUCCUCUUUGUUCAUUAGCUGGAUCUCAGUGUUAUGCUUGGUUCCACUCGGCGUGAUAAGUUAUCUAUCGCUGAGGACACUGUAAAAGGUGGCCAAGGUAAAUGCAGAUGAACCGCUUCUAAUAGUCCAUUGACUUGGACAAUACUUUUAUGAUCUGAUCUCAAAUCAGGUAGGACUACCCGCUGAACUUAAGC